UAAACUCUUUUAUCACAGGGAAAUACUAGAACAGCAUCCUCUUCAUUUUUCUUUCCAUGAUGGGAAAGUUCUGAAGCUCUGUCCUGUGAGGAGUGAACAGACCUGGGCACUGAACAUCAAGCGAGGCAUUCUUAGUGUCCUGCAGACAGCUCAAGAAUUCCCUGUUGGUGCCAUUGUUGAGGAGGUGGAUGUCCUGGGAAUAUGCCCAACCAGGUAUCAGCAAAAGGGUCCCAUUCUUGUAAAGACAAAGGACUUAAACCUCUGCUCCCAUCGCUCUUCUGGUUUGACUUCUGUGCAGUCUGUUGUUCUUCCUCAUGCAUCAUCUGAACAGCAGAUCCUGUCCUCCCAGCUGGAAUGUGCCCAGAGCAUUAAGGAUGGGGUCCUGGAAGAGGCCAAAUGCACUGAGUCCGAUCGUGUGAUGCUGUUCCCUCAGCAGGGCAGUGGGGCAGAGACACAGACACAGUCUGCACUCAAACUCUUCCAAGUGGAAACAGAGACACUCUACCAUAAAGGGUACUCUGAGGAUCUGUAUGUGACCAGCAUUCUCUAUGAAAGGGAGGUAACUAAGAGGGAGGUCACUGGGGCAGAAGUGACUGAACUGGUGUGGAAGCUUUGCUUAGCGCACAGUGCAAGUUACCAGACUGCAGACCUUUUCAUGACUCUCGUAUUUGAGCUUCGACAUCUUUCUCCUGAGGCCUUAAGAGCACUAUGGCAAAGAUCAUCAUUUAAGUGCAGAGACAACUGGCAACCAUUAAUAGAUGCUCUCCCAUCUUGUGCCACAGAAGCAUGUGUUGUCCUAAUGAAAGACCUCAUAGCUUCUGGAGAAGUUGAGGAAGACAAAGUAGAAUAUUUCUUUUGGUCAUUUACAUUCAUUCCUAAUCCCACCUCAGGAAUGAUUGAAUCUCUUGCUCCUUUGCUGAAGUCACCUAGAGCCAGCCAGAGCUGCUUCUUGGGAGUAACAGCUCUCGUACAUAGGUUUUGUUCGGCUCAUAGCUCCUGUGAUAUUGUACCUGCUGUGCAGAGUGUGAUGAGGAUUCUUGGGAAAUUUUUGGGAGGAAACUGUACUGUGCAAGAUUCAGAACAUCUCAGCAAGGUAUUGGUUAUACAGAGGCACAUGAUACAGUGCUUUACUUUUCUGUUCCCUUAGUGAGCUGAGAACUUGUUAGAUGAAAAUGGUAUUAAUUGCAUUUCCAGACAGCCAUGAAUACAAGCUUAGUAGAUGAAUAUUCCUUGCUAGAAUGAGCUGAUAAAAUUUUGUAAUCUGACAAGUAGAACCUAUCAGUAUGGGUGUUCUUGUGCGUGGAAAUAAAGAAAAGCCUUGGGUUUCCUGAUGAAGCA
rnacentral:lncRNA from 1 species